CUCCUACGGGAGGCAGCAGUGGGGAAUUUUGGACAAUGGGCGAAAGCCUGAUCCAGCAAUGCCGCGUGCAGGAUGAAGGCCUUCGGGUUGUAAACUGCUUUUGUACGGAACGAAAAAGCUUCUCCUAAUACGAGAGGCCCAUGACGGUACCGUAAGAAUAAGCACCUGCUAACUACGUGCCAUCAGCCGCGGUAAUACGUAGGGU
rnacentral:rRNA from 1 species